ensembl:lncRNA
CUGGACGCAAGGAGGGUCCGCAAGGACGUGAUGGGGCCGUGAAGCCCCUUGCGUUGCGUCGACGUCCAACCAUAACUAAGCCUUUACACCUUGUACUUGGUACCGGGGGGGGACACACUUACACCGAGGCGGAGCAGGUUGGCUGGUAACCGCAAGGUUGCUAGUUCGAGUGUCGAGGUGUCCCUGAGCAAGAAGCCUCGCCCUCGCUGCUCCUGACGAGCUGGCUGUCGCCUUGCAUGGUUGACUCAGCCCGUGUGUGAAUGUGUGCAUGAAUGGAUAUCAACGGAGUGUUCAACAAUAGCAGUAUUCCCUCGUCCUCAUCUGAGAUGGCAGAUUAUACAACGAAGUACCUGGUGAUUGGCUCCCGGAACAGCGGCAGACGUAUAAGACGGACUUCAACGCGAGUACAGCGAGUACCGGGGACUGCACGCGCGGAUAGAGGGCGUCACCCGGCAGUUCUCCGUCCUGGACACUGAGCUCAAGCAGCUCCCCCAAGGCACAGACAAGUACAAGACAAUCCACGAUCAGAUACUUCAAGAGUAUCGCAAAAUAAAAAAGACUAACCCAAACUAUAGCCAAGAGAAGAAUCGCUGUGAAUAUCUACACAACAAACUGGCGCACAUAAAGAAACUUAUAGCCGAGUACGAUCAACUGCACCCACAAAACUGGCACUAGCUAGGCGUUGCUUCCGUAUUCUCAGUCAGAGGAAGGAAAACUCUGGAUUGUGCUUUUGCUCUAAAAACAAAUUGAAAAAAAAACGAAAUAAAAAAACCGAUGAAAGAUGCCAUGAAGGGUGACUUCCCUUCAUUGGGGCCAAAAGCACUAGUGAUGAAAAAGCAGAUUCUAUUUUUUUCUUUCUCUCUCCCUCUUCCUCCCUUUUUAUUUUUCCAGAGACGGGACGUUGGCCGUUGUCGGCCGCCGGCCCUCUGUCACUACACUGCUUCACAGAAAUGACCCAGUGUGGCCUCUUGUUUUUAUUUGGUUUCUCUUCUCCCGAGCUCUCCUUAUCGUGCACAGAGAUCUUUCAGAGAGUAGACUUGGAAUGGUCCACAGUGACUCUAGGGAGAUCUCCCAGUAGUCUCCCAAUGGUUGGGUCUCCAAUUCGGGGGUAUUUUGGUGGGGGAGGAGACGAAGUCUGCAGAACGCCAAAUACUAUCCUUCGAGAAGAGAAAUACCAGAAGAAUGAAAUGGAUGAUAUCAGUUUUCCCGCUUAUACUGAAACGGACGGUGGUGAAGCUGAAAUUAUUUUUUGUAUUUAUUUUUUGACAUGGGGUUAAGAGUCUGUUAGGAUUUUACUGUACACUCCUCUCCAUAUCAGUGCUAAAAGCAGUAUCUCUUUUGUUUUGUUUUUGUCUUCAGAUCUUGAAAGUCAGCCAGUAUUUAUUCAAAAGAGGCCUUGGCCAUCCAGUUAUCAAUCUUGCUCACUUUUCCUUUUUAUAAAGAGGUACCGAUAGACCUAUUGAUCUAACUGAAGAGAACGCUACUCGAUGAACAAAGUCAGGCACAGGUUUCUGCUCGACUUUUCUUAAAUUAUGUGCAGAUGUCUUAACAAGGGGAGCAUGUUGUAAAAGUUGGGCUUUGAGAAGCUGUGAAGUACUGCCCCCCCCCCCACCCCUCCCCUUCCCCCCUCCCCUUUUGACUAGCUGCAACGCUUGUCCAUCAAAUGGUCUUGGAUAUUCUUUCUUUUUUUUUGCUUCCCUCUUUUGGUCACUAAAGCCCAAUCCCAUUUCUACCCCUUACCUCUCCCCCUUCCCCUUACCCCUUAAAAACAAGGGGGAGGGGUAAAGGGAAGGGGUAAGGAGUAGAAAUGGGAUUGUGCCUUAGGCCCAAUCCCAUUUCUACCCCUUACCCCUUACCCUUACCCCUUCAAAACAAGGGGAAGGGGUAAGGGGUAGAAAUGGGAUUGGGCCCAAGUCGUUGUGGCAUUCGGUAUUUAACACAGGAUCACUUUAGAGUCAGGAGUAGAUGGCUGUAGCGAUCCAGUAAUUCCAAACGGUCUGACCAGGGAGCUCACGGCCACCACUGCGGCUCAAAUCAUGCCCAAAACGAUCCUCUAAUUGUAAGUUAAUGCAGAACUAAAGAGCUUUUCAACGUCUGCAACUGGGGAAAGAGAAAUGUUGUGGUUUCAAAGCAGAGAUUCAAAAUGUCAUUCUAGGUUCCCACACCAUCACGAGUCGGAUGUAUAAGAUGCUGUUUACCGUGUGUACUUAAAGAUCCCGUUCUCCCCAUUCUAAUCACUAAAACGACUGUUAACAUGAAGCCAUCCUGCGUCCUCCCGGAUGAGACCCGUACACUAGCCGUCUCUGCCUGCCUGGCUACCUGGGACCCGUACUAACGGCCUUGGGGGAAACGCAUAUCGGAUCAAUAUUGCCUUUCUGAACACGAUAGUCACCAGAAUGACGUGGAACCUUCUGAUUCCGGAUCAGUGGUCCUGUUUGAGAAACACUGUGACAGAAUAUCCUGUUUUCAAAUCGAAUUGGAAUCUUUUUAACAGCUGUCACAAAAACGUCUAUGAAUAAAUGAUGAACCCGAGACUUGGUUUUUGUCAUCAGACGCGUUUAUUAACUCGACCCUUUAUGUCAAUAUGACAAAUCAGCACUUUUCCUGCUAAUAUUGCUGUUACCUGGUUGUUUUUUGUCCAAACGUUAACUCUGUCCAUGAGUGCAUGCUUUAUGAAUGUGUUACAAUGCCCAGUAUUCAUAUCUUCACUUGAAACAACUGCCCAAGUGCAAUGUUAAAUCAACUAAAGGCCUAUUCCAACUGACUCCGUAUGUCUGACCAGCAUGUAUACCAAAGUGCUUAUCAAGCUGGAUUCAACUAUAACGUUCUAUCAAGACACUGGAAAAGGAAUCCAAUCCAUUUCACAGUAUUUAUUUCCACUGUUCAUGUACAAAUUCGUUUUUUUUUGUUUUUUUUGGGGGGGGGGGUUCUUAAUCCAUUAUUUUGAUCUCAAAUGUUGGGUGGGGCGGUAGUCCUUCGUAUUUCGAAUGAGGUCUGUAUUGUGGGGUUCAGAUAUUUCAAUCUAGAUCCGACCACCUUUUUAAACUAAGCUUAACACUAAGGCCAAUAGUCUAAGCUCUACCCCAACGAUGCCGAGUAGUGCUGGGUUCACACUGGAACGCGAGCGGUGCGUGGAGGUUAGGAGUGGCGAUGUCUGUGUGAACAGAAACUACAAUCAGCCCCAGUAUUGCAACCCUUCAAAAGGGCCUGUUUUUUUUCUUUUCUUUCCUACGGCUGUUUAUUGUUUUGUCGUCUUCAAUACCUUUUCUGAUGCAAUCGCUGUACUAUGUCUGUUAUGGUCAAAAUGUAUUUUGAAUCAAUUUUUCAUCAGUCGAUGGUAAACAUUGUGCACCGAUACAGAGCAAUUGGUUUGACGAUAAUGAAAUACCAGCACAGUAAUACCAUUGUAUGAGUUGAUUGUGCCAAAUGACCUGUUGGUUAGGUUUAUUUUUCUUUGAUUCUAUACAUGCUGCUGUAUACGCAAAGAGGGCUUUGGAGAGAAGUCGUCUGAUAUGUUGGCGCUACAAUCCAAAGCACGCUUUUGGAAACCAUAAGGGACUGGGACUGAAAUUUAUCUUUAUUUCAAUAAAAAUUCUUUAAAAUCCUCCUUUGUGAAAUUCUAAAGCGGUUGUGGCUUGUCUUAUUGUUCAGAGUUCCGAUUACUGCUGUAAUUGUUCUAUUAUGGCUGACAUUAUUUGAACGAUUUUUAUUCAAUUCUACUGCCCAAUAUUGUUGAAUAAAGUUAUGCAAACA